rnacentral:rRNA from 1 species
GAUGAACGCUGGCGGCGUGCUUAACACAUGCAAGUCGAACGGGAUCCCAGGAGCUUGCUCCUGGGUGAGAGUGGCGAACGGGUGAGUAAUGCGUGACCGACCUGCCCCAUACACCGGAAUAGCUCCUGGAAACGGGUGGUAAUGCCGGAUGCUCCAGUUGACCGCAUGGUCCUCUGGGAAAGCUUUUGCGGUAUGGGAUGGGGUCGCGUCCUAUCAGGUAGUCGGCGGGGUAACGGCCCACCGAGCCUACGACGGGUAGCCGGCCUGAGAGGGCGACCGGCCACAUUGGGACUGAGAUACGGCCCAGACUCCUACGGGAGGCAGCAGUGGGGAAUAUUGCACAAUGGGCGCAAGCCUGAUGCAGCGACGCCGCGUGCGGGAUGACGGCCUUCGGGUUGUAAACCGCUUUUGACUGGGAGCAAGCCCUUCGGGGUGAGUGUACCUUUCGAAUAAGCA